rnacentral:piRNA from 1 species
UAGAAGAAAAAAGAACCUACAAAGCAGCCC